ACAGCCUCUGUUGUUGCAGACUCGGACAAGUUCCCACCAUGACAUUGGUACAAAGCGUGGUCCUCCUGGCUCUGGUUUCAGCGGCUCAGGGCCAGUCCCUCACCUCCUCAGAGCCGGUGGUCAGCAGAACAGGAGAACCAGUCUCUCUGUCCUGUAAGGUGGAAGGACUUCCUCUGGCUUGGCUGCACUGGAUCAGGCAGAAACCAGGGAUAGGACUAGAAUGGAUCGGACGCAUUGAUAGUGGAACUGGCACCAUAUUUGCCCAAAGACUGCAAGGCCAGUUUUCCAUCACCAAAGACACUUCCAAAAAUCUUGUGUACUUGGAGGUGAAGAGUCUGACACAAGAAGACUCUGCAGUUUAUUACUGUGCACGAGAGCCACAGUGACAC